rnacentral:rRNA from 1 species
UACGUAGGUGGCUAGCGUUGUCCGGAAUCAUUGGGCGUAAAGGGAGCGCAGGCGGACAUUUAAGCUGAUCUUAAAAGUGCGGGGCUCAACCCCGUGAUGGGGUCGGAACUGGAUGUCUUGAGUGCAGGAGAGGAAAGCGGAAUUCCCAGUGUAGCGGUGAAAUGCGUAGAUAUUGGGGAGAACACCAGUGGCGAAGGCGGCUUUCUGGACUGUAACUGACGCUGAGGCUCGAAAGCCAGGGUAGCGAACGGG